GAACGCGAAAGUUCCCUUCGGGGAGCGAGUAGAGUGGCGCACGGGUGAGUAACACGUAGGUAAUCUACCUUUGGAUGGGGAAUAACAACCGGAAACGGUUGCUAAUACCGCAUAAUGCAGCGGCACCUAAUGGUGACAGUUGUUAAAGCGGGGGAUCGAAAGACCUCGCGUCUGAAGAGGAGCCUGCGGCAGAUUAGCUAGUUGGUAAGGUAACGGCUUACCAAGGCGAUGAUCUGUAGCCGGCCUGAGAGGGCGGUCGGCCACACUGACACUGACAUACGGGUCAGACUCCUACGGGAGGCAGCAGUCGGGAAUUUUGGGCAAUGGGCGAAAGCCUGACCCAGCAACGCCGCGUGAAGGAUGAAAUCCCUCGGGAUGUAAACUUCGCAAGAACGGGAAGAAUAAGUAAGGGUUAAUAUCCCUUAUGAUGACGGUACUGUUUGUAAGCUCCGGCUAACUCCGUGCCAGCAGCCGCGGUAAUACGGGGGGAGCAAGCGUUGUUCGGAUUUACUGGGCGUAAAGGGCGCGUAGGCGGCCUCUGCAAGUCGACUGUGAAAUCUCCGGGCUUAACCCGGAACGGUCAGCCGAUACUGCAGGGCUAGAGUGCAGAAGGGGCAACUGGAAUUCUCGGUGUAGCGGUGAAAUGCGUAGAUUUCGAGAGGAACACCUGCGGCGAAGGCGGGUUGCUGGGCUGACACUGACGCUGAGGCGCGAAAGCUAGGGGAGCGAACGGGAUUAGAUACCCCGGUAGUCCUAGCCUUAACGAUGAAUGCUUGGUGUCUGGGGUUAUAUAGUCCCCCGGGUGCCGUCGCUAACGCUUUAAGCA
rnacentral:rRNA from 1 species